GUGGGGAAUAUUGGGCAAUGGGCGCAAGCCUGACCCAGCAACGCCGCGUGAGGGAAGAAGGUCUUCGGAUUGUAAACCUCUGUCCUUGGGGACGAAAAAAAUGACGGUACCCAAGGAGGAAGCUCCGGCUAACUACGUGCCAGCAGCCGCGGUAAUACGUAGGGAGCGAGCGUUGUCCGGAAUUACUGGGCGUAAAGGGUGCGUAGGCGGCAUGGCAAGUCAGAUGUGAAAUCCCCGGGCUUAACUCGGGGGGUGCAUUUGAAACUGCUGUGCUUGAGUGCAGGAGAGGAAAGCGGAAUUCCUAGUGUAGCGGUGAAAUGCGUAGAUAUUAGGAGGAACACCAGUGGCGAAGGCGGCUUUCUGGACUGUAACUGACGCUGAGGCACGAAAGCGUGGGGAGCAAACAGGAUUAGAUACCCCUGUAGUCC
rnacentral:rRNA from 1 species